UGCGUUCCUGCUUUCUCCGGUCGAGGUCUGGUUAAAAGCAUGCUCAGGAAGAAUCCAGAACUCAGACCAAGCGCUUCUGAUCUUCUCAGACAUCCUCUGCUUCAGCCUUACAUUCAAAAGGUUCUUCUCAAGCUGAGCUACUGGGGGGGACGAUACAUUGCAACCAGAAUCUUAAUCCGCAAGGAGAAGCAGCUAUCCUCCUGAGCAAAGAAGGCGUUCUUCUGGCAAAUGUAUAAGCUUUGGUCCAAGAAGAGAAGGAAGAUUCUUUGUCUUCUGUUAAACCACUUCCUCUGGCAAGUUUAUAGUUGACCAGGAAAAUUCUUUGUCUUCUGUUAAACCAGUGCACACGUAUUUGCACCACCGCAUGCCAGUGGAUUUGUCUGCUAACAUCACUGGUAGAGUAACUGUUCGAAGACCAGCUGUUUCGAAAAAUUCAGGGGCUUCUUACAGAUCAGCCAGCCUAAGAGUGGUGGUCUGAAACAAGCUACAACCAUUCGUAGAGCAUCCUUGCCUGUCUCACACAAACCUUCAAAAGGAACAAGAGACUCUCUCUACACCCCAAACAUCGGUAUACUCCAUCACCUAAACUCACCAGACGUAUCCGUAAACUCUCCAAUAAUCGACACUAUCAAGUUCGCACUAGCUUCAUACGAAGAAAUGCCUUUCACUCCCGUUGUGCGCAAGAAGAAGAACAAAGGCUCCUCCAGAGGAUCCUACAGCCCACCUCCUCCAGAGGAGCUGCAGCAACCGCUAGACUGCUCAAUCACAAAAGACAAGUUCACCCUUGAGCCAGAACGAGAAACCAAGAGUGGCGGUGAUUUUUUCUGAUCAGAACGCGACUGCUGGAGGAGCGUCGGGCAGAGCUUUCCAGGUGCAUCUGGUGACAGAGGUUUGACCCGCGGACAACGCGCUGAGGCGCUGAGGGAUUGCUUGAGUUCAUAGCGAGGUUGCUUCUAGAUGAGAGGUAUGAUGAGCUGAAUGUGUUGCUGAAGCCGUUUGGUCCGGGAAAGUGUCGCCUAGAGAAACAGCGAUAUGGUUGUCUAAGAGCUACUAGGUCACCACGAAACCCACUUACGCUACCGUCUAAUUCAUUUCUGGGAAGCUCCUGAGUUAUUUGUACAAUCAAAGAAUCAGUGUGGUGCGAUGCAUUUUUGGGAGGCCAAAAACAUUGCAAAAAUUGGCUUAGAGCUGCUAUGAUCAAGAUGGAGGUCGCUUCACAGGGUUCUCACGACGAAGUUAUUGCAUCCUAAUGAUUACGUUGUACCUAGGAGAUCGAUGUUGAGUUGGAGGCUAAAUAGAAGAAAUAUCUUCCCAGACAAAGACAUAAUUAAGAGUCAUGAAAUGAUGAAACUAAAGACUCAGCUUGCUUCACGAGAAAAUUUUAUGUCAAAUCUGCAAAAGCUCCUGCUAGAAUCGAAAAGAUAAAUUUGCUCCUUUGCACAUGUAAUAAUUUCAAUUAGCUUGGCAAGUCUGAUGUUUGGGUAAGAUUGUGUAUUCUUUAGUCUUUUUUUUUCUUUUUGAAUUCUUAGAUAUCAUUGAUUACUGUUUUGGUUUUUAGGAGAAAGUUGUGGCUUCUGGAUCAACUAUUCAAGAAGCAUGUCUAUGGAGUGUAUGUUUUUGGCCAUAAUUACUGCUAAAUAUUUACAAGUUUAAACCCCGAGCUGUUAUAUUGUUUGAGUAGGCAUAACUCCUUACCGACUAGAAAAUUACGGUAGCUAUAUAUUUACACUUUUGUGCAUAUUGCUAAUGAUUGAUGACACAGGCGUGCUGGUGGUGAAAAGGUGUACAACGUGUUUCAUAACCAAUUUCUGGUGGCUCUGAAGAGAUUUCAAGUUGACAAGCAGGUAGCAAUAUCUAUUCGAGGCCUGCUUAAAAUUUUUUGAGACUCUAACUUGCAUCUCUAAUAUAAAAAAGAAUAAGCAAAGCAACCUACCAAAAAAAUAAGCAAUAAUCGUCUCUCCUUUUUUUUCUGUUUGAUUUUAGUAUUACGAGGUUUAUGUGAUCUUGCAGGAACUGGUUCACAAGUCUGCUAAUGAGACAGUUGUACGUUCUCUUCUUCUGUUUAUAAUAUAUAAAAUAUCUCAAACAACUUAUUUUCUUUGGUCAAAUGUUUUUUUUUUUUUUUUUUUUUUUUUUAAAUAUAAAUAUUUAUUAAUCUACCCGAGAAUCGGGAAUUUCAGAUCCAGUUACAAACCCGUUUCGAACAAAAUUUCCAAAAUCAACCUAUUACAACACUAGCUUCGCCCGCCCACUAAACCCGGCACAUUCCGCUAGUCCGUUUAUCGGUUUCCUUUGAAAUCGGUUGCCGUUCUCUACCAUCGACGAGAAUCAAGAGAAGGUGAGGUUCUCCUUGUUGCCUCGGAUGCCGGGACUUCCCGCGUCGUCUCCGGAGUAGCUAGCUUCCGAUGAACUCCACCGAGUUUGUAACCGUUACUGACAAUGAAGCGCAAGACGACUAAUAGGGGAGUGUUUCGGAUACUUACCACGAGCCUUGCAAGCCACCAAAGCCGAGCUAGUACGCAACGUCACACAACGCUUGAAACCAUCUCCCAACCCGAGCAAGAGCUCGCUACUGCCGCCACCAAACCUGUACUACCAAAAGGGCCGGACCUCCAUGCCACACACCGACAGAGAAGACUCUAACGACUAGCACAAAUGUCAGCCAAGCAACACUACCGAUGAAGAAUCAAGUGAUCUUCUCCGGUACUGGGAUGUGAGCUAAACACAAGAGGGACACCGCCGCGACCAUGACGAAAGUCGGGACGUCUCUUGCCGCCUUCGAAAACCGAAGAAGCAGUGACCGUGACUCGCAAAAUAACCACCGGUGUCUACGGUGAUAUGAAUAGAGCUCAAGAGAACAACCUUAGAAUUAGAAACUGCCGCAACCAAACCAAGGUAUCAAGCCGAUGACGAGAUGUUGAAAUUGAAAGGUCAGGUGAAAUACAAAAAAGAGCUUGAACCGGCCAUAGACGACCGGGUAGGACUCUGCUCAGCACUCCCACACGAGUCGGAAUCGGUCAGGUACCAUCAUCCCGCCUGCAUACCAGACCGCGCCUCACCUCCGAAGUGAAGCCACCACCGGAGCUGACCUUGGCUCCAACGAAGAGGAGACGAACCCCGACGACACCGUAAGGGUUCCCGGUUCCAAACGAAGAAGCCGCACGCCACAACCAGAGAAACGCUGUAGCCACGCCACAGCCAACCGGGGAGCGCUCCAACCCCAUCAUCCCGAGCAAGAAGGUCGCCAGAGAGAGAUUAAAAGGGGAAACGCAAUCCUCUCUCUCAGCCACGAAAAAUCCGACUCCACAGCCAAAUCCACUGCACACCACCGCGUCUUGACUCCAACACAAGCUGAAUCGAUAGCAAACUCCGACGAACCUCGCGAGCGGUCACCGGAAUCAACAAGAGACGCUUGACCAGAGCCCGAAACAAAGCAACAGCGGAGGGGAGUGACCGGGAAGCAAAGAGGAAAACAGAGCAAGAAGGAGGGAAGCCUCCGGCGGCCGGACGCG